AUUCGGAGGGCAGCUGAGCGUUGUUAAUGUGCCAGGCAGAGACGGGGAAGCCUGGCAGAGCAGCGCAAGAUGAAUCGCAGGGACGUGUAAUGGCAGCGCCAGUCGCCUCCUGGGUCCCGGUCACCCCACUCAGGACAUGCUGACCCUUUCCUACUUAAUCGCCGGUGCAGCUUUUGGGAUUAAAGGCUUUUCGUGGCUACAUGGAGAGGAGCUGGACAAUGUGGAGGGAGAAGAUUACACCACCGAGUUCUCCGUCCAGAGUUCCCCGGCACCUCAGAAUGGACCCGAGGUUUACGUUCUGCCGCUUACCGAGGUCUCUGUGCCGAUGUCCAAGCAGCCCGGGAGAUCAGUGCAACUUCUCAAAUCCACCGACCUGGGAAGACAGAGCUUGCUGUACCUGAAGGAGAUAGGCCGAGGCUGGUUUGGCAAGGUGCUGCUGGGGGAGGUAAAUGCGGGGCUCGCCAGCACCCAGGUGGUGGUGAAGGAGCUGAAAGUCAGCGCCAGUGUCCAGGAGCAGAUGCUCUUCCUAGAGGAGACUCAGCCGUACCGAGUCCUCCAGCACCCCAACCUUCUUCAGUGCCUGGUGCAAUGUACGGAGAUCACCCCCUACCUGCUGGUGAUGGAGUUCUGCCCCCUGGGGGACCUGAAGGAAUAUCUGCAGAGCUGUGCGGCCUCCGAGUCCACCGCGCCGGACCCCCUGACCCUGCAGAGGAUAGGCUGCGAAGUGUGCUGCGGGCUGCUCCACCUACACAAGAACAACUUCACACACAGCGACCUCGCCCUGCGCAACUGUCUCCUGGCCGCCGAUAUGACGGUGAAAAUCGGUGACUACGGGGUGGCCCAUUCCAAAUAUCGGGAUGAUUACCUGGUGACGUCCGACCAACUGUGGGUCCCUCUGCGCUGGAUCGCGCCGGAGCUCAUUGAUGAAGUACACGGGAACCUCCUGGUGGUGGACCAGACCAAGACCAGCAACAUCUGGUCCCUGGGAGUCGCACUCUGGGAGCUCUUCGAAUUGGGCCGCCAGCCCUACGAGACGUAUUCCGACCGCCAGGUCCUCAGCUAUGUCAUCAAGGAGCAGCAACUCAAACUACCGAAGCCGCAGCUCAAGCAACUGCAGUCAGACCGCUGGUAUGAGGUGAUGCAGUUUUGCUGGCUGCAGCCUGAUCAGAGACCAACCGUGGAAGAGGUCCAUCUACUACUUUCAUACCUGACUGUGAAGGGAUCUGGCGAGCUGGAGGAAGAGUUUGAGAAGCGUUGGAACUCUAUGAAACCCAAUGGUGGAACAGAUGGCGGUCCUCACCAUGAGCCCGAGCUGUCCUCUUACCCUCUGCUGGAGCACUUUUCUUCGGAUGGGUUUCACUCAGAUGGAGAUGAUGUGCUGACAGUAACUCAGACCAGCCAAGGGCUUAACUUUGAGUACAAAUGGGAGCGUGGGCGGCAUGAGCAAUAUCCACUGAGCCCUGGGUGCCAGCCUUACCAAGAUAUGUACUAUACAACCAGCACUGGUGAAAGACUCAGUCUUGGCGUGUCACCAUCUGGCUACGAUGAGAAGGACUGCAACCCAAACUCACGCCCGCUUGAGCUGGUACCCGUUCUGAGUGCUCGGAGCCCUUCAGUGGCAGGAGACUACUAUAUUCGUAUUGAAGAGCCUUUGGGGAGCAACGUCGAGCAGGACUACAGCCCACAGCAUGAAGAGAACGGCGUAAAACAAAAGCAGGAACUUUCAACAGAGGACCAACCAUGUGAAGAUAGUCCUUCUAUAAGCCUUUCCAUGGAGCCCUUGCUGGAAGUUGUCUGUUCUGCCAGGGAUGAUAGCUCAGUCAAUCAGGCCAAAAACCAAUGCUCCAGCCCCUCCUAUGGAGGUGAGGCAAAGGAGAAGAACGUGCUUGACUGUUCAAUAGAGGACAAUAAUGACUCCAGUGUAUUUAAUGACCCCCUUGGGUCCUCUCUAUCGUUAAAUCAGCUUGGCCUAAAUGAGGCAGAAAAGAUGGCGGCUCCAGAGACUGAGGACUGUAGUUUCACCUGUAGAGACCCUUUAGAUUUGGCUGCAGUGAAGCGUGACGGUGAAGAUCUAGAGCAGAUGGGCUUUCAGGAGGACCUGUCACCGAAGACCUCUUGUCCUGUUGCGUUCUCUCCACACUGGGCAUCCAACAUCUCCUCAAAUAAUAACGUCUCCAGUGAACCGCAACAGGCGCUUGGCAUUUGGUUCAAUCCACGCUCCGAGGACUCCCAGACUGGUGAGACUGAACCAUUUGGUCCUGAAUCGUGGCAGAUUGCAGAGUCUGGGGAGGGGGACAAUGUCGCUUCUUCAACAACGGCGGAGGAUCAGUUUUACGACGCCGAGGAGUUUGCAAUGCACGAGCGUUCGGUGGAAGCGGUUUCCGGAGACUCACACCUCCAGGUCUCUUCUCCUGUGUCGGAAGCAUGUGAUAUUAAAUCCUCGACAUUGCAAUCAGAUGAAAUCCGCCAUCCUCUAGCAUCCCCAGACAGUGAAGAAGUGACCCCUGAAUUAGAAAUGGAUCCUCUCGGAGUUUGUUUUAUAGAACGUUGCGAGCCUCCUACACAUGACCUUCACAUAACAGAGGAGGACAUAUCUGUCGCUGGAUCUCAGGGGGCUUCCCUACAAAGCUUAUCAGAUGAACACUGUCAUCUCAGCAAGGAUAAAGACUUUUAUCAAACUCCCAGUGACAGCGAUGAUGAAGACACCAUGGAGCUGACUUCAGGGGUCUUCACAGACCUGUCUAGUGAGAGAGGAGACACGGCCCCGUCUUUCAGAUCCCUACAGAAACAGGUCGGGACCCCGGAUUCACUGGACUCCCUGGACAUGCCAUCAACUGCAAGCUCCUGUGAUGCCUUCAGCCUUGGAACCUAUGCCCCUUCUGCCCAACAUAAAGCACUGGACAGCGGUUACGACACGGAAAAUUACGAGUCUCCAGAAUUUGUGUUAAAAGAACCACAAGAGAGCCGGGAGACUGAGGGAUAUUAUCAGCUGAGCCAACCUCCAGAACAGAGCCUGGAACCUGGAGACAUGCCAAUGUCCCGCUCGGUCAGCAGCGACUUACAAGGUCUGGAUGCCAAGAACCCCUACAGAGACUCUGCCUAUUUCUCCGACUACGACUCCUUUAAUCGGGAAGAAGAGGAGGAAGGAGACCAAGGUGAAGAAAGGGAAGAGGAAGGAGCCACAAAGACUAAUCCCUGUGUAGAUCUAAACAUGGAACCCACAGAACCUAACCUAAUAGAAAGCACUGAGAACCUAAAGGAUGACCAAGGCCAAUGCCCAGCCACUGUAGAGACGGAUAAACCUCCUUCCCCUUUGCCUGCGUUACCUUCAUCUGACUCCCUGCUUCAGCUGCCUCUCAUCAUAAGAGAAGAGUCUGUAGAUGAGGGCUUGGGCUUAGAAUGUUCUAAAGACUCUUCUCUUGAUAAGCAACCCACCACAAGUUCCACCGUCAAGUCGUCCUCGCACAGAACCUUUACCCUGUCCCCUGUCCAGCUUUGUCUCACCAAAGCAUGCACUGUAAAGCAGGGCUCAGCCGGAAGCAUCACUUUGACCACUGGGCUUCAGCCAGAAGAGAAGACGACUUCCAACAGGGAAUCCUCGGGGGCGUGCCACCUGUCCAAAUGCGUCUCGCCUCCUCUUAUCCGAAAGGAGGGCAGAGUGGGCGACUCCACCGAUGACGACGAAGAGGAGGAAGAGAGUGAGGACAGCGAUGAAUCCGACGAGGAGCUCCGCUGCUACAACAUCCAGGAGCACAGCGAAGAGAGCGAAGAGGAACAUCCCGCCAUCCCCAUUGUUAUCACUGAUAACGCCAGCGCUAGCCACUUGCGAAGUCUUCUAAAGACGCCCAACUUCUUGCCCCAGACUGCCUCCGAGGAUUCCGAUCGGAAGAAGAAGGCUGUAUCUUUCUACGAUGAUGUUACUGUCUAUCUAUUUGAUCAGGAGAGUCCAACACUGGAUGGGGCAGAUCAGGAGAUCCCAGAACUGCCAUCUGUACUGCAGGAGGUCCAGCAGAUAACCUAUAAGGAGUCCUCCAACCACCUCUUAGAUGGCAGCUUUGGAUGGGACGGUGAUUUGCAUGUUAAACCCGUGAGAAGCUCCUUCGUCACCUCGCUCUCACCGGCCAUGUUGAACACGGAAGUGAACAGAACCCCGGAGCCCGUCCAGAAGCCGGCGCUGCCCGUUCAACUCUCCAGGUUCAGCGUGUCUCCGACCGCCGUGUCCCGGUUCUCCAUAACGCAGGUGGCGGAUAAUGCCGCGGGGCCACUGGAAGAUAAGGCGCAACCCAAAGAGAAGAUCUGAAGGUUCUGGAAGGAUCUGGGAUUUCUCAGGACAGGAGGACGUGUGCUGCAGAUCUGGAGGUCAUGGAGAACCUUUAUACUGUUACUUCUCUGCCGCGGCCCGGGAAACACCGGCACGAGCGCCGACCGCCGCCGAGUGUGUGUGCGCCGGGCUGGACUGACACCGCAGCCUCUCAUCCCGGGGACUUUCUUUUCUUUGUGAUUUGCACUCGAGAAAUCUUUGGACUUGACCUGAAGUGUCUACAGGUUUGAGUGUUUUCCUAUGAGUGUUCGUUGGCGUGGGAGGGUCCUUUUGAGCGUGGGAAGGUCCUAUGAGCGUUCGUUGGCGUGGGAGGGUCCUUUUGAGCGUAGGAAGGUCCUAUGAGCGUUUGUUGGCGUGGGAGGGUCCUAUGAGCAUGGGAGGGUCCUAAUGAGCGUUUGUUGGCGUGGGAGGGUCCUAUGUAUGGAUGUAUAUAGGCACAUCUGUAAAAUGUAUGCGUGUGGUUUGUGAAUGGAUUAGUUACUCUGUGUAUAUAGCUAUAUAUAUAUAUAAAUUUAUAAAGGCAUUACUCUUAGAAAGACAGUUAAAGUGUACCUGUCAACAGAGCUGUAUUGUAGGGCAUUAUGAAAUUGCUCAAUUUUAAUUUUUGGGCAGUCUGUUACCUCGUUCUCUCCACCCGUCCCCCAGUGUCCUAUCUUUAGGAACAAGUGGUAGGUCAAGGACUGUGUGAGGCCUGAACCUCUCACUGUACAGCUCACACAAUGGGAGGCUAAGGGCUGUAUGAGGCCCUGGACCCCUCAAUAUGCAACUUGCAUGUGAUGGAAGGCCAAGGGCUGUAUGAGUCCCUGGGCCCCUCACUUUGCAGCUUAUGUGUGCUGGGCGGCCAAGGACUGUAUAAGGCCCUGGACCCCUCACUCCUGCAGCUCACAUGUGAUUGGAGGGUCAGGGGCUGUGAGAGGUCUAGGGCUGUGCUCAGCCUGUGGACCCCUCACUCCUGCAGCUCACAUGUGAUGGAUGGCCAAGGGCUGUACGAGUCCCUGGACCCAUCUCCCUGCAAUUCACAUGUGAUGGGAGGCCAAGGGCUGUAUGAGACCCUGGACCCAUCACUUUGCAGCUCACCUGUGAUUGGAGGGUCAGGGGCUGUGAGAGGUCUAGGGCUGUGCUUGGCUUUGACCCCUCACUCCUGCAGCUCACAUGUGAUUGGAGGGUCAGGGGCUGUGAGAGGUCUAGGGCUGUGCUUGGCUUUGACCCCUCACUCCUGCAGCUCACAUGUGAUUGGAGGGUCAGGAGCUGUGAGAGGUCUAGGGCUGUGCUCGGCCUGGACCCCUCACUCCUGCAGCUCACAUGUGAUUGGAGGGUCAGGGGCUGUGAGAGGUCUAGGGCUGUGCUCGGCCUGGACCCCUCACUCUUGCAGCUCACAUGUGAUGGAAGGCCAAGGGCUUGUAAGAGUCCCUGGACCCAUCACUCUGCAAUUCACAUGUGAUGGGAGGCCAAGGGCUGUACGAGUCCCUGGACCCAUCACUCUGCAAUUCACAUGUGAUGGGAGGCCAAGGGCUGUACGAGUCCCUGGACACCCGUCACUUUGCAGCUCCCGUGUGAUUGGAGGGUCAAACACUGUGUGAGGUCUAGGGCUGUGCUUGGCCUGGACCCCUCACUCCUG